rnacentral:rRNA from 1 species
UACGUAGGGUGCGAGCGUUAAUCGGAAUUACUGGGCGUAAAGAGUGCGUAGGCGGUUUUUUGGGUCCGCCGUGAAAGCGCCGGGCUUAACCUGGGGAUGGCAGUGGAAACUAGAGGACUUGAAUCCGGCAGAGGGGGGUGGAAUGCCACGUGUAGCAGUGAAAUGCGUAGAUAUGUGGCGGAACACCGAUGGCGAAGGCAGCCCCCUGGGCUGAGAUUGACGCUCAGGCGCGAAAGCGUGGGUAGCAAACAGG